AUGAAGCUGGAAUUGCUGUAAUGGCAGGUCAGCAUACUGCCGUGAAUACGUUCCCGGGCCUUGCACACACCGCCCGUCACACCAUGAGAGUUGGGAAUACCCGAAGCCUGUGAGCUAACUUUUUAAGAGGCAGCAGUCGAAGGUAGAAUCAAUGAUUGGGGUGAAGUCGUAACAAGGUAUC
rnacentral:rRNA from 1 species